rnacentral:rRNA from 1 species
CACGAACCGGGCAAACGUUAUUCGGAAUUACUGGGCUUAAAGGGUGCGUAGGCGGCGCUGUAAGUCGGGUGUGAAAUCCCUCGGCCUAACCGAGGAAUUGCGCCCGAUACUGCAGUGCUCGAGGAAGAUAGAGGUGGGCGGAACUAGCAGUGGAGCGGUGAAAUGCGUAGAUAUCAUUUGGAACGCCAAUGGUGAAAACAGCUCGCUGGGGGUGUGCUGACGCUGAGACACGAAAGCCAGGGGAGCGAACGGG